AGAAGAUGACGAGUGGCGGACGGGUGAGUAAUGCUUGGGAACUUGCCUUUGCGAGGGGGAUAACAGUUGGAAACGACUGCUAAUACCGCAUAAUGUCUUCGGACCAAACGGGGCUUCGGCUCCGGCGCAAAGAGAGGCCCAAGUGAGAUUAGCUAGUUGGUAAGGUAACGGCUUACCAAGGCGACGAUCUCUAGCUGUUCUGAGAGGAAGAUCAGCCACACUGGGACUGAGACACGGCCCAGACUCCUACGGGAGGCAGCAGUGGGGAAUAUUGCACAAUGGGGGAAACCCUGAUGCAGCCAUGCCGCGUGUGUGAAGAAGGCCUUCGGGUUGUAAAGCACUUUCAGUUGUGAGGAAAAGUUAGUAGUUAAUACCUGCUAGCCGUGACGUUAACAACAGAAGAAGCACCGGCUAACUCCGUGCCAGCAGCCGCGGUAAUACGGAGGGUGCGAGCGUUAAUCGGAAUUACUGGGCGUAAAGCGCACGCAGGCGGUUUGUUAAGCUAGAUGUGAAAGCCCCGGGCUCAACCUGGGAUGGUCAUUUAGAACUGGCAGACUAGAGUCUUGGAGAGGGGAGUGGAAUUCCAGGUGUAGCGGUGAAAU
rnacentral:rRNA from 1 species